GGAGGAAGAGGCCUGCCGAGGGAGGCUUUGUCUUUUCAGCCAGAGUUUGACAAUUAGGCUUCAUCAUGUCACGAUGCGGUGCUACUGCUGACCCCAAAACACAACGCCGGAAGUGGUGCUCACUAGAGACUGUGAGUGGCAUUGUGCACCUGCCAUCUUGCUGAGGCCUCCCAGGGGAGCUCAGAGGACACCUGGCCUCCUUCAAUCCAGGACUCACUGUUGAAGUGGAGCCGGGGCCCUCGCAGGAAAGAAUGAGCUGUGGGAGGGCCACUGGUCCACCACAGGGAGUCUGUGCUGUCCAGUGCCCACUGGAUGGCAGGAAGGGUAGGGCCUUAGGUCUGAAGGCCAAAAUUUCAAACUCAAGGUGUCGGCAGAGUUGUUU
rnacentral:lncRNA from 10 species